rnacentral:piRNA from 1 species
AGCUAAGAGACUGUCCUUGCUGUGUGG